rnacentral:rRNA from 1 species
UUUGAUCCUGGCUCAGGAUGAACGCUAGCGGCAGGCCUAAUACAUGCAAGUCGAACGGUAGAUUACUUUCGGGUAGUUGAGAGUGGCGAACGGGUGCGUAACGCGUAUGCAACCUACCCUAUACAGGGGGAUAGCCCGGAGAAAUCUGGAUUAAUACCCCAUGGCAUCAUUGAGCCGCAUGGUUUAAUGAUUAAAGAUUCAUCGGUAUAGGAUGGGCAUGCGUCUGAUUAGCUAGUUGGCGGUGUAACGGACCACCAAGGCUACGAUCAGUAGGGGUUCUGAGAGGAAGGUCCCCCACACUGGCACUGAGAUACGGGCCAGACUCUACGGGAGGCAGCAGUAGGGAAUAUUGGGCAAUGGACGAGAGUCUGACCCAGCCAUGCCGCGUGCAGGAAGACGGCGUUCUGCGUUGUAAACUGCUUUUAUCUGGGAAGAAAAUGCUGCGGGGGAAAUUGCCGGUACCAGAUGAAUAAGCACCGGCUAACUCCGUGCCAGCAGCCGCGGUAAUACGGAGGGUGCAAGCGUUGUCCGGAUUUAUUGGGUUUAAAGGGUGCGUAGGCGGCUAUUUAAGUCAGUGGUGAAAGACUCCGGCUCAACCGGAGCAGUGCCAUUGAUACUGGAUAGCUUGAGUAUUGGAGGGGUACAUGGAAUUGAUGGUGUAGCGGUGAAAUGCAUAGAU